GGUAAACUAAAUUCAGAUCACACUUGUAUGAGAUGCGUUACACACUUACACUAGUAGCCUAGAGCAGUUUUAGUAACUCGUGGUUGGUGCCUUGGUGCUGCUGGAUCUUCAAUAUAUUUAUAUGGUUUAAGGUUCCAAUAUUUAUCUUGAGAUAACCCCCUUUUUUUCCUUCUACUUUGCAGUUCUGCAUUGGUACCAUAAAAGAUGAUUUCUUGGGUGUGAUCAAUGAUCCUGCGACAGCUUAAAUGCACCCUUCUGUACCCUUCAUCGUAUAUAGUUUGCAUGGCAAGGAUGAUGAUGCACAUGGAAUCUUUCAAUUAUCUUGGUGUAGCAUUUGCUGAACGCACUAGUUCUCAGUGAAUUACUCGACUACUGUAUCGAAUUUCCUGCUAACUGUUCGGGCUUAGUAAAUUACUAAUUAAAUGUUAGAAUGUAGAGCUAAAUCUUAAAAACGUGACAUGAAAACCAGCACUUGUUAUGUGUAGAACGACUGCAUUUUAUAAUUAUUGAAUGACUAUAUUGUUGGCACUUUUUCUUUUUUGUAAUUACGGAACUGAAUUCUUGGCC
rnacentral:lncRNA from 1 species